rnacentral:rRNA from 1 species
AACGAACGCUGACGGCAUGCCUAACACAUGCAAGUCGAACGAGAUCUUCGGGUCUAGUGGCGCACGGGUGCGUAACGCGUGGAAAUCUGCCCUUUGGUUCGGAAUAACAGUUGGAAACGACUGCUAAUACCGGAUGAUGACGAAAGUCCAAAGAUUUAUCGCCAGAGGAUGAGCCCGCGUAGGAUUAGCUAGUUGGUGUGGUAAAGGCGCACCAAGGCGACGAUCCUUAGCUGGUCUGAGAGGAUGAUCAGCCACACUGGGACUGAGACACGGCCCAGACUCCUACGGGAGGCAGCAGUGGGGAAUAUUGGACAAUGGGCGAAAGCCUGAUCCAGCAAUGCCGCGUGAGUGAUGAAGGCCUUAGGGUUGUAAAGCUCUUUUACCCGGGAUGAUAAUGACAGUACCGGGAGAAUAAGCUCCGGCUAACUCCGUGCCAGCAGCCGCCGUAA